UUUGUUUAUUUAUCUGGCAGCCCUGAUGAUUAGGAGUGUUUCCUGGAUUACUUAGGCUGUUUGCUCGAGGAUGACAGUAGCUGGUGUAAUGGUGCUGAUAGUGAUCCAAUUCAUCCAUCAAAAUCUGUGGACUGCAAGCUUGCGCACUUGUCAGAUGAAGUGUUUGAUUCUCAUAUAUUAAUUGCGCCAGCUUUUGUACAAAAGUUAUUCGCAGAAGCCAGUACUGACUCUGCAAGAUGUCCAUACUUGGCAAAUCUUGAGAUUGAAAGGAGGAAAUUCUUGUUUGGAAAGGGAGAUGAUGACAAACUAAUCGAGGCUCUAAUGCAAUAUUUUUUCAGUUCCAGGUCUGAGAUGUACGCCUUAUAAUGGACCGCAAUUCAAGUCAUUCCAAGAGAGUUGGUUAUAUUGAAUUUUUUGAUGCAAUGCCAGUCCCUAUGGCAAUAGCACUCUCUAGCCAGCCUCUUCUUGGUUAGCCAGUAAUGGUUAAACCAUCAGAAGCUGAAAAAAAUCUGGUUCAGUCUACUACAGCCACAGCUGGGGCUGUAGGUGGGCUCAUAGGCCCCUAUUUGGGGGGAGCUAGAAGAGUAUGUUCCUUUCUAUUGAGGUAAGAAACAUCUUCUAUUCCUUUCUUAUGCUUUUUCUUAUACAUGGCUGUGUUGCUGCAACAUUGUGUCCUUGCUGCCCAGGUGAAGAAACCACACUGGUUGUCUUACCCAUGUGCUACCACUGUCCAUGU